rnacentral:rRNA from 1 species
UACCAGCUCUCCGAGUGGUAGGGAUGAUUAUUGGGCUUAAAGCGUCCGUAGCCGGCUUAGCAAGUCUCCUGUUAAAUUCAGCGACCUAAUCGUUGAGCCGCGGGAGAUACUACUAGGCUAGGAGGCGGGAGAGGUCAACGGUACUUCCGGGGUAGGGGUGAAAUCCUAUAAUCCCGGGAGGACCACCAGUGGCGAAGGCUGUUGACUAGAACGCGCUCGACGGUGAGGGACGAAAGCUGGGGGAGCGAACCGGAUUAGAUACCCGGGUAGUCCCAGCUGUAAGCGAUGCGAGCUAGGUGUUGGGGUGGCUACGUGCCACUUCAGUGCCGCAGGGAAGCCAUUAAGCUCGCCGCCUGGGGGAGUACGGCCGCAAGGCUAGAAACUUAAAGGAAUUGGCGGGGGAGCACCACAAGGCGUGAAGCUUGCGGUUC